rnacentral:rRNA from 1 species
GACGAACGCUGGCGGCGUGCCUAAUACAUGCAAGUAGAACGCAGUUGCGAACGUGUGAGUAACGCGUAGGUAACUGCCUGGUAGCGGGGGAUAACUAUUGGAAACGAUAGCUAAUACCGCAUACUACCAGAUGGACCUGCGUUGUAUUAGCUAGUUGGUGGGGUAACGGCUCACCAAGGCAACGAUACAUAGCCGAGCUGGGGUGGUGAUCGGCCAACCUGGGAAUGGGACCCGGCCCAGAAUCCCACGGGAGGGCGGAGUAGGGGAACUUCGGCAAUGGGAGGAACCCUGACCGGGCAAAGCCGCGUGAGUGAAGAAGGGUUUCGGGACGUAAAGCUCUGUUGGUAAGGAAGCGGUACUUAACCAGAAAGGGACGGCUAACUACGUGCCAGCAGCCGCGGUAAUAC